rnacentral:rRNA from 1 species
UACGGGGGGUGCGAGCGUUGUCCGGAAUCACUGGGCGUAAAGGGCGCGUAGGUGGUCUUGUAAGUCUGUGGUGAAAGCCCGGGGCUCAACCCCGGGUCUGCCGUGGAUACUGUGAGACUUGAGUACUGUAGAGGCGGGUAGAAUGCCGGGUGUAGCGGUGGAAUGCGUAGAGAUCCGGCAGAAGACCGGUGGCGAAGGCGGCCCGCUGGGCAGUAACUGACACUGAGGCGCGACAGCGUGGGGAGCAAACAGG